GACGAACGCUGGCGGCGUGCUUAACACAUGCAAGUCGAGCGGUAAGGCCCUUUCGGGGGUACACGAGCGGCGAACGGGUGAGUAACACGUGGGUGACCUGCCCUUAGCUCUGGGAUAAGCCUGGGAAACUGGGUCUAAUACCGGAUAUGACUCCAUGACGCAUGUUGUGGGGUGGAAAGCCUUGUGCGGCUAGGGAUGGGCCCGCGGCCUAUCAUCUUGUUGGUGGGGUGAUGGCCUACCAAGGCGACGACGGGUAGCCGGCCUGAGAGGGCGACCGGCCACACUGGGACUGAGACACGGCCCAGACUCCUACGGGAGGCAGCAGUGGGGAAUCUUGCGCAAUGGGCGAAAGCCUGACGCAGCGACGCCGCGUGAGGGAUGACGGCCU
rnacentral:rRNA from 1 species